AACCAUAGAAACCUGCGGAGUACCUGCGGAAGGAUCAUUACCGAGUGAGGGCCCUCUGGGUCCAACCUCCCACCCGUGUUGCACGAACCUGUGUUGCUUCGGCGGGCCCGCCGCCAGGCCGCCGGGGGGCAUCCGCCCCCGGGCCCGCGCCCGCCGAAGCCCCCCUCUGAACGCUGUCUGAAGUUGCAGUCUGAGACAACUAGCUAAAUUAGUUAAAACUUUCAACAACGGAUCUCAGAU
rnacentral:misc_RNA from 1 species